rnacentral:rRNA from 1 species
UUAGCCGUAAACACAAAAAAUUCAUAACAAAAUUUUUUGCCAGAGAACUACUAGCAACAGCUUAAAACUCAAAGGACUUGGCGGUGCUUCACAACCAUCUAGAGGAGCCUGUUCUAUAAUCGAUAAUCCCCGAUAAACCUCACCACUUUUUGCUAAUCCAGCCUAUAUACCGCCAUCUCCAGCAAACCCUAACAAGGAACAAAAGUGAGCACAAGUAUCACACAUAAAUACGUUAGGUCAAGGUGUAGCCAAUAAAGUGGGAAGAAAUGGGCUACAUUUUCUAACCAAGAACAUCCACGAUAAUCUUUAUGAAACCUAAAGAUCUAAGGAGGAUUUAGUAGUAAAUUAAGAAUAGAGCGCUUAAUUGAAUGAGGCCAUGAAGCACGC